UACGUAGGGUGCGAGCGUUGCCCGGAUUUAUUGGGCGUAAAGGGCGCGUAGGCGGCCACCGCAAGUCGACUGUGAAAUCUCCGGGCUUAACCCGGAAAGGUCAGCCGAUACUGCGGGGCUAGAGUGCAGAAGGGGCAACUGGAAUUCUCGGUGUAGCGGUGAAAUGCGUAGAUAUCAGGAGGAACACCGAUGGCGAAGGCAGGUCUCUGGGCCACUACUGACGCUGAGAAGCGAAAGCAUGGGGAGCGAACAGG
rnacentral:rRNA from 1 species